rnacentral:misc_RNA from 1 species
GAUGAAGAACGUAGCGAAAUGCGAUAAGUAAUGUGAAUUGCAGAAUUCAGUGAAUCAUCGAAUCUUUGAACGCACAUUGCGCCCAUUAGUAUUCUAGUGGGCAUGCCUGUUCGAGCGUCAUUGAUUCCACUUAAGCCCUGCUUAGUGUUGGGAAUCUACUCUAGUGGUGCUACCCUGGAGCUACCCCUGAAAGGGGGCUGGCCCGGUAGUUACCCUGUAGUUCCUCAAAGAUAGUGCGCGGAGUUGCGUGGUCCUCUGAGCUUAGUAACUAUACACCUAGCUUUUGAGUGUCCCGCGGCGCCUGCCGUUUAAACCCCAUCUUUUAAUGGUUGACCUCGGAUCAGGUAGGAAUACCCGCUGAACUUAAGCAUAUCAAUAAGCGGAGGA